GUCAUAUGCUUGUCUCAAAGAUUAAGCCAUGCAUGUCUCAGUACAAGCCAAAUUAAGGUGAAACCGCGAAAGGCUCAUUAAAUCAGUUAUGGUUCCUUAGAUCGUACCCACAAUUACUUGGAUAACUGUGGUAAUUCUAGAGCUAAUACAUGCAAACAGAGCUCCGACCGGAGACGGAAGGAGUGCUUUUAUUAGAUCAAAACCAAUCGGUGGCGGGUUCGCUCGUUAUCGUACAACUUGGUGACUCUGAAUAACUUUACGCUGAUCGCACGGUCAUCGCACCGGCGACGCAUCUUUCAAAUGUCUGCCUUAUCAACUGUCGAUGGUAGGUUCUGCGCCUACCAUGGUUGUAACGGGUAACGGGGAAUCAGGGUUCGAUUCCGGAGAGGGAGCCUGAGAAACGGCUACCACAUCCAAGGAAGGCAGCAGGCGCGCAAAUUACCCACUCCCGGCACGGGGAGGUAGUGACGAAAAAUAACGAUACGGGACUCAUCCGAGGCCCCGUAAUCGGAAUGAGCACACUCUAAACCCUUUAACGAGGAUCAAUUGGAGGGCAAGUCUGGUGCCAGCAGCCGCGG
rnacentral:rRNA from 1 species